CCAGUUUGUAGGAAACAGGUUUGCAGGUCUGUCUACGCGUAUGUAAAUAUUUCUGGCUGUUUUAAAAACUCAGCACCAGCCAAAAUUAAGAAAAAGGUCUAAAUGCUAAACAUAAACUGCUACUAACUUAACCACUUUACAUAAAUUCCUGCUGGAAGAAUUCUUCUCUCUGUCUCCUUGAGGAUGCCAUUUGUUCUCACAAUCUGUGGUGAGACCACAGCGAGCUGCCUGACCACAGCAACUGCUGCAGAGCUCCRCUUGCUGCACACUAAGAGCACUGGAGGGCCUGACCUCCUCUUUCCUGCCCGAGRCUCUUCACUAUUCAAGAUCAGUGGUGUUAUGUGCAGGGACAAGGGAUGUCCCCAUCUCCCAGUCAUUUUGAGUUUGUUCCAGAAGCUGUGCAYAGAAAACAGUGAAGCCUGCUGA
rnacentral:lncRNA from 1 species